ACCUCGGAAGAACGAACAAUCGCCAUUUCUUUUCUUGACCAGUGAGGGAAGAGAGACAGAGCAGCGAAAAUGGGAGAAGCGAAGACCGUACACUCCCCCCUCCUGACCUACGUCUCCAUGCUCUCUCUGCUCACUCUCUGCCCGCCCUUCGUCAUUCUUCUAUGGUAUACAAUGGUUCAUGCUGAUGGUUCUGUUGCUCUAACCUGGGAGUAUCUCAAACAAACUGGGCUAGAGGGGUUCAAAAGUAUCUGGCCAAAACCGUCUGCCACUGCAUGGAAAAUCAUUGCUUAUUUUGCAGUUUUUGAAGCUAUACUUCAGUUGGUGCUUCCUGGUGAAAGGGUUGAAGGCCCGAUUUCUCCUACAGGGAACCGACCUAUCUACAAGGCAAAUGGAUUGGCAGCAUAUGCAGUAACUUUGAUAACUUAUCUCAGCCUUUGGUGGUUUGGGAUAUUCAACCCUGCAAUUGUAUAUGAUCAUUUGGGAGAAAUUUUCUCUGCACUGAUCAUGGGAAGCUUUGUCUUUUGCAUUUUCUUAUACAUAAAAGGUCACUUGUUACCAUCUUCUUCUGAUUCAGGAUCUUCAGGGAACAUACUAAUUGAUUUCUAUUGGGGAAUGGAGCUGUAUCCUCGGAUUGGUAAAAGCUUUGAUAUUAAGGUUUUUACGAACUGUAGAUUUGGUAUGAUGUCCUGGGCAGUUCUUGCUGUGACCUACUGCAUCAAGCAGUAUGAGAUGAAUGGUCAUGUUGCUGAUUCUAUGCUUGUGAAUACCGCACUGAUGCUGGUGUAUGUAACCAAGUUCUUCUUGUGGGAAGCUGGAUAUUGGAACACUAUGGAUAUUGCACAUGACAGAGCUGGAUUCUAUAUUUGCUGGGGAUGCCUGGUAUGGGUCCCAUCAAUCUAUACUUCUCCCGGAAUGUACCUUGUCAACCAUCCUGUGAAUCUGGGUGCUCAGCUUGCGCUUUUAAUUCUUGUUGCGGGCAUUGUAUGUAUAUAUGUCAACUAUGAUUGUGACAGGCAAAGGCAAGAAUUCAGGAAAACAAAUGGAAAGUGCUCCAUUUGGGGAAAAGCUCCAUCAAAGAUAACAGCCUCCUAUACUACUACUAAUGGGGAAACAAAGUCAAGCAUUCUUUUGACCUCCGGCUGGUGGGGUCUGUCUCGUCACUUUCAUUAUGUGCCCGAAAUAUUGGCUGCCUUUUGUUGGACCGUACCAGCUCUUUUCAACCAUUUCCUGCCUUAUUUCUACGUUAUCUUUCUGACAAUCCUUCUUUUCGACCGAGCCAAAAGAGAUGAUGACCGGUGUUUGUCCAAGUACCAGAAAUACUGGAAAUCGUACUGCCAGAAGGUGCCGUACAGGAUUAUACCUGGGAUCUACUGAGACUUGGAUUUUUCUGCGUAUUAUUAGCAAAGUUAGAAUGCAUCUUCAUUUUGGGCCUGAUUUUGGAACCAGAGGUGCUGCUCUCACGUCAGAAGGUUGUUCCUGUUCCUACUAGGGAAUCUCAACUGCUGGUGAAUGACUACUGCCGUGAUAUGACCAUCAAGACCGUUCACUAGGCUUGGAGAUGCAAAGGGGAGCAUCCAACUCUGGCAAGUUGUUUCACAUGGUGGGACUUCUUAUCACCCGGAAACCUUUACUGGAACAUGAAUUCCUUCAUUUCUGAGCGUUCCUUUUCCAACUGGUCAUGCUGCCUCAUUUUUCCCACCGGCAUUCCACUUCUGAAGGCGCCAGUACCCUGCAAAAAUAGGCCCUACGACGAACAUCACCUGUAGUGAGAUUCACUGGUUUGGUGGGCCGCACCUGUUUGUUUGUCCAUUGAUUACAAUGGUGCGGUCCACGUGAUGAGCAGACCAGACUUAUGCCUUUUCCAGGUGAUCUUCAUGGUGAGGCCUACUGUUUGUACGGUGCAGAUGUUCUGCACAAGCGGGGCAUGCUAGUGCAAAAGAUGGUGCAGCAUGACAAGUUAUUGAUGUGGCCCUUGCGGCCGUCAGUAACCUAAAUUAAAUUGACCCGCACCCAAAUUCAACAGGCGAGUUUGGACGGUUAAGAUUUCGGGCUCUGUAAUGGAUUCCUGCAAUUUGUAUGGUCUGGGUUGAAGGAUAUGCGCCCUGUGUACACCCAUGAAGAGCCACGAUCAUCCAAAAAGGAUGGUAUUAAUGUGCAACAGUAGCCUAUCCCAUUUAGAAAAUGAUUGCGGUCGUAUUCACUGGUGGAGAUGAUAGAACCAAUCUAUUCACUGGGUGGGACCCGAAAACAAGUUGGCUUGUAGGUGGAGUAAAUGGUUUCGGACACAACAGUUGACCUGAUGAAUAUCAAAUCAAUAUCUACAGUGA